rnacentral:rRNA from 1 species
UACGAAGGGUGCAAACGUUGCUCGGAAUUAUUGGGCGUAAAGCGCACGUAGGCGGCAUUGCAAGUCGGAUGUGAAAUCCCUCGGCUUAACCAAGGAAGUGCAUCCGAAACUGCUGUGCUUGAGUACUUAAGAGGAUCGCGGAAUUCCCGGUGUAGAGGUGAAAUGCGUAGAUAUCAGGAGGAAUACCGAUGGCGAAGGCAGCUCGCUGGGACGUGACUGACGCUGAGACGCGAAAGCGUGGGGAGCAAACAGG